UUUUUUUUUUACCAUGCUGGACAAUAUCUAACUUUUAAAUGGAUUUUUGGACCAUUUUCAUUUAACAUGAUAAUUGACAUAGUUGGAUUUAACUGUACCGUCUUACUAUUUGUUUUCCAUUUGUCCCAUCUGUUCUUUGUUCCCUUUUCCUUGUUUCUCUAUCUACUUUUGGAUUUAUUGAAGUUAAAAAUAAUUCCUUAUCAUUUACUUUGUUGUAUUAUUAGCUAAUUUUUUUUGUUGUAAUAUUUUAGUGAUUUCCUUAGAGUUUAUGAUAUAUAUCUUUUACUUAUCAGAGUCUACCUUUGAGUGACAUGAUACAACUUUAUAUGCAGUAAAAGGACUUAAAAUAGUAUCCUUCCAUUUCUUUCUUUUUGUUCUUUGUGCUAUUGUUGUAAUAUAUUUUACAUAUUUUAAUACAUCAUGUAUGUUCUAUAGAUGUUAUCAAUUCUGCAAUAUAUUAUUAUGAUUGCUCUAAACAUUUGAUUAUCUUUUAUGAAGGUUUACUUUUUAAAUUCUUUUUAUUUACUAAUUUCGUUACUGUUUCUGCUGUUCUCUAUUCUUUUGGGUGGGUAUAGAUUUCCAUCUCUCGAGAUUUUUCUUUUGUUUGCAUCUCUCAUAGUGCAGACCUGUUGGAGAUAAAUUCUUUUGACUGUUAUAUGGCUGAAAAUGUCUUUUUUUUGUUACCUUCUUUUGAAAGGUAUUCUCUUUGAGUAAAGAAUUCCAGGUUGACAGUGAUAUUUCUUUGCAUUUUAAAGAUGUCUUCAGGGUUGCAUGAGAAGUCUGCUCUCAUCUUUGUCUUCACUCCUUUCUGUUUAAUGGGUCUUACUUCUCUAAUGACUUUUAACAUUUCCCUUUUAUCAGUGGUUUUGAGCAAUAUGAUAUGACAUGACUUGAUGCCGUGUUUGUCUUGAACCUCUUUAAUCUGUGGGUUUAUAUUUUUGUAAUAAUGAGUUUUAGGAAGGCUGACCUUGAUGUGUCAUGGGAAUAUGGGUUUUAGGAAGACUGCUCUGGACUUGUCAUGGAGAAUGGGUUUAGGAAGCUGUGGACAGUCAUGGGAGAACAGGUUUUAGGGGGACUAAUUUGGAUGGUCAUGGGAAGAUGAGUUUAGGAAGGAAGUUCUGGAUGUGUCAUGGGAGGACUUUGAGAAGAGUGACUCUGAGGAGGCUGUAUGGGAUUUCCACUGACCUAGGACAGAGUUAACUAUAGGUGUUUAAGGACAGCCUCUCACUCACAUUCUGUUUCUAUUUCAGCUUUCACCUCCCCAGAGGGGCUCCUCUGACACCCCAGGCCACUUUUCUCAUAUGCUUCCAUUGCACUGGGCAGUUCUCUUGUCUAGUAUCUUCCAUUGUUUAAUGACCUUAAGUACUUGUCUAGUAUGGAUCUCCCACUGGACUCUCAAGCUCCAUGAGAACCCCAAUACUCUGUGUGGCAGAGUAGCUAGUCAAGGUCUGUUGAGUGAGUGAAAGAGUGAAUAAGUGAAUGAACUGCACUCCAUUGCUUCCCACCCUUUCUAGUUCUCAGCUCAGUAUUUCAUUUAUGACUCCACAUCCUACUAAAGUGAGGUAUCUGGACACAAAGAAAGAGUUGAAAAAUUCACCAGAAGCUGCUCCCAGGAGGCUGCGAGGAGAGGGAAGUGCAGGAUGUGCCACUGGAGGGACCUGUUGGUUGGGGUGUCUUGGGUUGGGCUCAUGCACCAUCAGUGGCUUAAUAAUGUGCUACAACUCAGCCCUGUGAGCAUCACGCCAUACCGUGAAGUGUUGCCUCGACUAACAACACUUUGUGAAAAUUGAACAUUUGGUUGUGUGGGGUGUAGGAAGAUGAGAAAACUAAUUAUAGUUUCUUUGGGGGGGCCCGCAGCAGUUG
rnacentral:lncRNA from 1 species